CCUCUCAUGGCGUAGUGGUAACGCGCCCCAACUAGGGAUCGGGGAGUCGUGAGUUCGAUUCUCACUGAGAAGA
rfam:Aedes aegypti strain Liverpool supercont1.636 genomic scaffold, whole genome shotgun sequence.